rnacentral:tRNA from 1 species
GGUAAGAUGGCAGAGAGAAAGGGGCGGUAGAUUGUAAAUUUAGGAAGAGAGGUUAAAGUCCUUUUCUUAUCA